rnacentral:rRNA from 1 species
GGUGAGCGCUGGCGGCGGGCCUAGUACAUGCAAGUCGAGCGACCAGCCGGGGCACUUGCGCGUUUGACGGUGGCGGCGGACGGGUUAGUCCCGCAUCGGUAGCCUACCUGUAGGACUUGGCUGACUUCGGGGAACCGGCGCUAAUACCGGCAACUAUUUCGCCCCACGUUGUUCCAUCGUGAAAGUUUGCUUUUCUAUCACUUAUUGAUGGGCCUGCGCCGGAUUAGCUAGGUCGUAAGGUAACGGCUUACCAAGCCAACGAUCCGUAACCGACCUGAGAGGGUGAACGGCCACACGGGAACUGAGCCACGGUCCAGACUCCUGCGGGAGGCAGCAGUAGGGAAUCUUCCGCAAUGGGCGAGAGCCUGACGGAGCAACGCCGCGUGAGUGAUGAGGGUCUCCGGAUCGUAAAACUCUGUUAUUAGGGAAGAACAAACGUGUAAGUAACUGUGCACGUCUUGACGGUACCUAAUCAGAAAGCCACGGCUAACUACGUG